GGUGAUGUAGCUCAAGCAGGAGAGUACCUGCUUAACAAGCUUGAGGUCCCUGAGUUCAAUUCUCAGUACUGCCU
rnacentral:tRNA from 1 species